rnacentral:rRNA from 1 species
AUACGGAGGGGGCUAGCGUUGUUCGGAAUUACUGGGCGUAAAGCGCACGUAGGCGGCUUUGUAAGUCAGAGGUGAAAGCCUGGAGCUCAACUCCAGAACUGCCUUUGAGACUGCAUCGCUUGAAUCCAGGAGAGGUCAGUGGAAUUCCGAGUGUAGAGGUGAAAUUCGUAGAUAUUCGGAAGAUCACCAGUGGCGAAGGCGGCUGACUGGACUGGUAUUGACGCUGAGGUGCGAAAGCGUGGGGAGCAAACAGGAUUAGAAACCCUAGUAGUCC